rnacentral:rRNA from 1 species
UACGGGGGGGGCAAGCGUUGUUCGGAAUUACUGGGCGUAAAGGGCUCGUAGGCGGCCAACUAAGUCCGACGUGAAAUCCCCAGGCUUAACCUGGGAACUGCGUCGGAUACUGGAUGGCUUGAAUCCGGGAGAGGGAUGCGGAAUUCCAGGUGUAGCGGUGAAAUGCGUAGAUAUCUGGAGGAACACCGAUGGCGAAGGCAGGUCUCUGGGCAUUAACUGACGCUGAGGAGCGAAAGCAUGGGGAGCGAACAGG